CCUAGCAAGCUGUGCUAUCAUAUGAAGAAAAUGUGAGAAAAUUCCUUCUGUUCCUUGAGUUAUAUUUUUUUCUAGGUUAGGCUUUGUCUUUUGCAGCCCAUAGUUCUCCCUCCCCCCUUCCUCUUCCUCUCUUUUUGUUAGCUGUGGGUGAAAUACUGGCAUUUAUGUAAUAAAUCAGCAUAGUGGCUGUAUCGUUUCUUUCCCCCUUGUAUAUUCUUGGGCAGCUCUGCCCAGACAAUCUGCUUGCUCUGAUGUAGCAUCUCCUCCCCCGUAGUCUGCUACCAGUGUGUUUUCUUUCCCAUGUGAGAAGCAGGUACUCUGGGUCUCCUGUACCUUUCUGUUAGCUGAGGGCCUGGGUCAGGGAAGCCUCCAUUUUAGGAUAUAUAUAGUCUCUGUUAAAAUAUGUAGGCUCUCUCCCCUCUCCUGAGGUUUUGAUGAACAUCCUAUAUCAGGGUUUGCUCUACUUAGUUGAGGAUGAAUCCCUCCCUCCCUCCCUCUAGCCCCAGGGGUUUUGGAUCAUUUCAGUAGAAGCCUGAAGACUUCACUUCUCUCUGGAAGAAUCAGACAUAGUUUGCUCUCCAAUUUCACCUCUUUCUUCCACGUCCCCUUGUCAAAAGAGAAAAAAAGCAUCAUUUAACAUAGGGACAGUCCGGGCCUCACUUUCUGUCAGAAAAAACUCUCCAGCAUUCUUGGAGCUAGAAGAACUCCCUGGAAAGGUAUCUAUAGCAGAAAAGCAAAAACCAUGGGCUUGGAGCACUGGAUUUCAGUCCUACCUCUGUCAUUUAAUCAGCAGUGUGCUGGGCUGUAAGUGAAGCAACAGGCCGACCCUGCACUGCCAGAUGGAACGUGUGCAGCACAUUUCCAACCAGGCUGUUUCCGAGAGAUUCCCCAUCUAGCAAGAUUCACACCAGGCAGUCGGACCCAGACUCACUACGCUCAGAGCUAGCAGGUGCUUGGAGUUCAGCGUAGGGUUGGUCUGGAAAUGCAUGCAGGAUCUCAGCACAGAAACUCAGGAAACACGCAAGAAACCCUCAAGAAGUUGGAGAACUCACUACCGCUGGAUUUUUGAUGAAUGAUAUCCGAUGCAAGCAUAGCCUCUGAUGGCUUCUUCCCACCCCAGAGCCGUCGUGGGCUUUUGUGAGAGCCAAAAAGCAGCCGAUGAUAACUCUGUCAUCACUUCCUUCAGCUUUUCCAGUACUCCAAACCCAGGCAGAACUAAAAUUCUAGACGGCAGCCACAUACGAAGGCGAUGCACCACCCUUCCACCCACCACCGCCACUGCCAUAUUGGUGGUAUAUAUUUUAGGAAAUCAGGAGGAAGGAACAUGAGAAAUCAUUGUUUUCUUGAGAACUGUAAGCAACCUGAUGAGAAAGCUCUCUAACGACAGAGGUGGGGAUGCUGUGCAUGCCAUCACAGUCCUUGGGUAAUGACUGUGUGUCAUAAAUGGGAUAUGGCAUUUCUGAAUGUCUUUAAAGCUAUUUCCUUUUGUUCCACUAAUUUAAUUUACCAAAUGCUCCUGGGAAAAGGGAGGGGGACCAAGAUGCUGACUCCACAUUUCCUGAAAAUCAACAUUUUCAUUUUAAGCCGCUCUCAAGGAAAUUACGUCUGAUUGUUGUCGGCUGGCUCCCUCAAACUCUACCUCUGUCAGAAUUCUGACCCGGCAGGUGUGAGGAAGAAAUAGAUGCAGAACUUGAGUGAAUACCCACAUCUGUUUUUGGAAAAAAGGAACAGAAGCAGCACAGAAGGAAGUAAAAGAGAUAAUUGCUGGCUUGAACUACAAUACAUUUUACUUGUGGGCAGAGGGCCAGCUUACAGCAGGCUGAAUAUGCAGGCCCAUCUUAUUGGAAUUCAGCAGUGGGCCUCCAUUCUUGUCCGGAGACAGCUGUAAACCAGCAGCCCAUAGCAUCACAAUCAGGCACCGAUUUUUGUCAAGGAAUGCUGAUAUGUACGGAAGCAGCUUUGUCUGCUUCAACUGCACCCCUGCCUAGUGAAAUGACAGUCAAUCUCUGAUUCCAGAUGACAAGAACUGGAUAAAAACUUAAAACAAAUGGCGACCUUUCAAAAGAUUAAUUUGUUUACCAACAAAAUGUCCCCUCUUUGUCAUCUGAGAUGGGGGUGACCUUCACUUUCCCGUAUCUAGGCUGAAAGGAUGCUGACUAUAGUCAUCUGUUAACUCCAUCUCAGCAAUUAUUCCCUUUUUUAUUUUUAGUGACAAGAAGGGUUUAUUAAUUCACUCUGCUUCUUGUUAUGGUUUAUAAAUGCAACAAGCUCAUUCUGAAUUACUGCAGUGUAACAUCAAUUUGUUUAAAUCUAAUUCUGCUACCAUUGCCAAAUUACGUUGUGACUGUAAUUGUGGCCAUAUGCAUGGGCUUAAAACACAAUCAUGUUUUGAAAUCGGCCUUCUUCCCCCCACCUCCCCGAGCACCCCUCCCCCCUACUUCUGGUGCUUCUAAUCAUUUGACAUUAACACAAUUGCCUCGCUUUCCAUUACUUUAUCAUUUCCGAAAUGAAUGUACUUUCACGAGAGAGAUUACUAUGUACACCCCAAGUAAAACAGUAAAGAAUGAAACUAUGAUUUGUGAAGUGUGGUUGCUACCCAACUAAGUUAGUGAACAGCACUGCAUAACGGAUGACUCAUAAAAUCGGGAAAUCAUAAUAGUAUUAAAUUCAACCUCAUGAAUAAAUAAAAGAUUCUAAGUUUACAUUGCAUUAUAUAUUUAUUUAUUUGGAAAGUGGGACCAGAACUGGUAUAAUUCUACAGCAACUUAUAUGUUGCCACCAAGAAAAAUGUUUUUAUGCUUCUUUUCUAGGUCAUAACAGUUAUCAUCAGAGUUAUUUGUGCAGCAGUACAAAGCAAUGUUUUGUUUGGCUAUUUUGUUAUGCAUUCAUAAUCGUUCUUUUAAAAUUCAUGCUAACAGAGACAUGUUUCAAGCCUUGUAAGAAACCCCUUUUAU